rnacentral:sRNA from 1 species
AGCUCUGGGCCGAAGUGUCGCAGGCCGGGACGGUCCUGGACAGCAACCACACGGUGGGCGUCCUGGCCAGCGCCCACCGCCCCCAGGGCCCGGCCGACGCCUGGCGCGCCGCGGUGCUGAUCUACGCGAGCGACGACACCCGCGCCCACCCCAACCGCAGCGUCGCGGUGACCCUGCGGCUGCGCGGGGUGCCCCCCGGCCCGGGCCUGGUCUACGUCACGCGCUACCUGGACAACGGGCUCUGCAGCCCCGACGGCGAGUGGCGGCGCCUGGGCCGGCCCGUCUUCCCCACGGCAGAGCAGUUCCGGCGCAUGCGCGCGGCUGAGGUAGGUGGGCCGCGGAGGGGCGAGGGGCCGGGCCGGGGUCCCAGGGGGGUGGGGUCCGGGGCGGGGGCUCCGAGGCGGUGUGGGUGGGAGGUGGAGCGGUGGGCCGGGGGCGUUCGCCCUGAGGUCGGGCCGAGCGUCCCCAGCCCCCCUGGAGAACCCUGAGGACCGGCCACUGCGCCCAGGACCCGGUGGCCGCGGCGCCGCGCCCCUUACCCGCCGGCGGCCGC